rnacentral:lncRNA from 1 species
AUAAAUUAAAUGCUUAGUAAUGGUUUUUCUUAGUUAUUUGAAAAUUUCCUAACAGUGUUUAUACAGAGAUUUUCCUACCAAGCCAACUUUGUGUCCUUGCUUUUUUUUGAAUAUUGGUUUGGCAUAAUGUCAUUUAUAAGAGACUCUUUCCUUCAGCAUGCUGCUCUGUUGCUUUGUCCCUGGUGAAUGGAAAUUGGUGCCAGAGUGACUACCACUUGGCUGAUCAUUUUUGUUUCUGGCUUUGUUGGAUGUAAAAAUAUUCUUUGAUAGUGGUUUAUUCAUACUACUUUUAUUAGAAUAAGACUCACUUUAAUUAAAAAAAAAACUUUAAAAAUUGAAAUUGUUAUCUAAAUACUUGAGACCAAAUUUCUUUAGGCCCCCUAGUGUCUUUAUAUAUAAUUAUAAGAUGCUUAACAACUUUUCAUUUGACAGUCAUCUUUUGAUGUAAUUCAAAAUUAAUUAAAGCCAAUGAAAAAUUUAUGAAUGUACUACUAGAAUAAAAAAGAAAUUAAGAAUUUUCUGAUACUCUUUGGAAUCAAUAAUAAAAUAUGUAUGUUAGUGUCUUUAAAAAUAACAUUAUCUAGGCAUAGUAACUCAUUCUUUUAAUCCCAGCACCAGGAGGUAAAGUUCAAGGCCAGUCUAGUCAACACAACAAGAUCUUGGACAACCAUUCCUACAUAGAGAGAUCCUAUCUCAAAAGUCAGAAAUAAACAAAUAAAUGUGACUUUUAGAAUUUUAAUAGUCUAUCCUUUUUUGAUAAUUGAUUUUAGUAUAGUCUGUUGAGCGAAAAUAUAUCAACAUAAACAUGAUUAAUCUGUGCUUUACCAUCUCAAAAGU